UCGAAAAUGCACUAAAAAUAGAAAAUAAAAGGCGGGAUCUAGCAACAAGAUUGGUUUAUCUAUUGCCUUCUUAAAAAUGAAAGAAGAAACGCGAUUGGUUGCUAUUGCCAACUGUGAUGUGAUUGGUUGCUAUGGGCAACUGCACUACUGCACGCAGGUUUUGAUAAAUCUCCUCCAAAGUCACCCAUCAUAAAUCUGAAGGCGAAACUUGGAUCCGUGCCACUAAAUAAAUCCAACAGAUAAACCCCAUUAUAAGGCAGUAUUCACACCAGGAUUAUUUCACCUAUUCUUCAGUCAUAGGAAGGUGGUGAAGAAUUCGCCUACAACAUCCCCUUAGUACCCUGUGACUUUAAUGGGGUCCACCGAGUGUUGAAUGCAGCGCCAUUUUCUGGGAUUAUUUACGGAACCUGCAAUUAGGUUUCUGACACUUGUGUACACAGCCUUAUUGAGUGGAGCUGAUCCAGGCCUAUAAGGAAGCUGUUGGAUUUUAUAUUAGUUCCUAUGGUGCUCCUUUCUAGUCAGCAAUCCCUCGCUGAGCUGCAGAUGAACUUGCAGAGAUGUGUGCUGACAUGCACAAAUGGCGGCUGGUCCUGACGGCGCAGGGCCUGGGUGAUACCGCCCGAUGUUACCGAGGAGAUGGAUGCAGAGCCUCGUGUUUUCAGCGUCUGACGUCAGGAGUCUUGCAAACCAUAGGAGCUGAAACUGAUUGAGUCCAGACCUAGAAGCAGGAAUGUUAACCACUAAGCGAGGAGGAAGGAAAAUUUAUGGAAACGUAUUAGACUUACUUAGGCCUUUCAAAAACUUGUUGACACCACUGGGCUCUGUUUCAGGGAGAGUCUUCAGAUAUUCACAGGCCCGCACCUCAAAAAGUCCUGAAUAAUAAAAAGAGAACAUUUUCCAUAUUUACAGAAGAUUCCUCUACCAAAAGUCAAAGCGAAUGCAUAUAGCAG